AACCAAACUGUUUAAUGCCUAUUAUGUCUACAUAAAGUGUUUAAUGUGGUAUGGCGUGGACUGUGAAACGAUGAAUUUGUGGCUGAAAUCAUGGAGAACAAUCACAGUUUUUGAGGAAUUUAAUAUCAUUUUGACGACUAGUCGAAGUAUUCUUUGGCCAAUUGAUCAUUAUGGUGUUAUUUCUACUCUAAAAUGUGUUGUCCUGAUUUCACCUACAAGUUCAUCAUCGUCUGCAUUGUAUGAUAACCAUACAACGGCCUUCAAAUCUGCUGCGGAAAAUAUUCCCAGCGACUUGCCGUUCAUAUCGGCUACUUCAUUAUGAGCUAUUGCCCUUUCUCGCAACCACGACACACGGCUUAUACUGCGGACCUAAUUUGGCGUUGAAGUUUUUGCCGGCCUCCGACAGCGCGAAACUCCUCUUGAAAAUUCGUUGUCCGACAGAGAUACGGAAUCAAAAGAUUCGGUCCGGCAGUUUUAACAGGAAGAAAAAUUUGCACGUUCAAAAAUGCAUCUUCAGAAGUGGCUGGGGUCGAUGGAUUACUUUGAAGCCUCGUCGGUAGUUUUGGAAACUACUACAGCUGCUAGUCGGACUGAACGAUGGAUAACAUGAGAUUUCAAGGACACCUGUCACAUGUGCGCUAUUCAAUCAUCCCAGAUUAAUAAAUAUUAGAUUUAAAAUAAAUUGAAAAUGAAAUUAUAAUAAAAAAAGAUUCAAUUAAGUUUCAAAAGAA